AGUGUAUAUUUAUAUGUAUUGUAGGGAAAGUUUCAAUAAUGGAAUUGGGGGAGGUUUUGGGUUUUUGGAUCUUUGAUAUUUGCAAAUGAUUGAAUAAGGUAUUAGGAUUUUUCAAGGUUUAAAAAGUUUGGGAUUUUAAGGGACUGUGCUUAGUGCUUACGUGGCAUUCUCUGUGUCGUUGGAUUGCUACAAUCGUGGCUUAAAGAUUUCUUUGUCUGCUCUUUGUCUUUCCCUGCAGUGAUGCUAAACUACAUAUUCAUCUGCAUAAAUACCAUGUCUGUGCCUGCCUUUCGAUGUUUGACUUCAUAUCUUCUUGGCCCAAAUCAACAGUUCAGUGAAUUGGACCGGCUCUAAAUCGAAUUAUUGGAGUCAGUAAAGGACCCAUCUCCUGAGGUUUUGAUUGAGAAUCAAACUCUGCACUUUCUCUCUCAUCUCUUCCUCCAAUGAACCAUCAUUACAUAUCCCUAAAUCAAUUCCCUCCAAAAUUCAGAACUGGCAUGACAGAUCUUUAGGGCUUAGCAGCAUCGCCGUGAGGACAUAUCCAUUGCCUCCAUUGCAUGCCUUGGCCAUUUUCGAUUGAGACUCGAUUUGUUUCGAUUCCCCAUUGGUCAACGUUACAAUCAGGACAUUUGAACCAGGGUAUGCAUUCUCCAUGUGCUGAUGACACAGCAAAAGAUCAUUAGCCUGAUUGAAUAAAAUAUGUUAAGUUGAUUAACAAGGACUACGCCACUUGUAUUUUAUUUGCAGCAGAUCAAGUUAAAAUAAGAUUUGAGGUAAAAAUAUGUAAAAGAUAGAGAUGUGUUACUGUCUGUAAAAGUUAAUAUGGCUGAGAAAGCAGUUGGUCCCUUCAGUGCAAGUAAUGUUGCCAGCUCUAGGAAAAUGACAGAAACAUCAGGUACACAUCAGAAAGGGGCAACCAUACAAAACAAAUCAUGCAAGGAAUUCUCGUUUGCCAUCCCAGCAAGAAAGGCCAUCAAUAUUUUCAUAAUUUUGCAGUCAAGUUACCAUAUCGUACAAAGAGGCAGUUGCAGCAUAUAUAUUAAAAAACAAAAGAAACAAUAGUAAGAAGGUCAACCACAUAGAAAAUAAGCAUUAAUUGGUUGUUCAAACAAAAUGACAAAAUGUUUAAUCAAUUAUAGUGUUCUGCUUGAGCAUUUUGAGGUCAUAAGAUUCUUCUGAUGACUGAAUUUGCAUACUUUAAAAGAAAAUAUCCCAUCCAUUUUGGGAUACCUCUGUCAAAGCAAAUAUGAUUCUCAAAACACUGCUGAACACUUCUCUGAUUCUGAGAUGCUCCUGCAGUGCUAACAUCAUUCACCUAAUCACAAAUUGACUUUUGUUUGUAACUAGUUAUGAUUGUGCUUGUAGUUCCUAUUAUAAUUGAAGGAUUUACACAAGUUUAUGGUAGUUAAAACAGGAAGCAGGAAAUUGAAAUCUUGGCACUGACAGAGUAAUGCAAUGGUAGUCAUGAUACUAACUUGGCUAUAAUAGGACAAUCUCCAAAUUUAUUAAUAAAAGUCACACUUGCAGUGCAUGCAUACAAAAAAAUACCUUUAGUACGCAGUAGCUUAUCUUUUUAAGCAAGCAAUAACCUUACGCAAUGAAUAAAAUUUAAAACUCUGUCCCUUUUUUUUCCAUCUAAUGAUUGGGUAAACCAUUAAUCACAAACCAACAAAAUAUAAGUUAAAGGAAAAGAAAUCAAAAAUAAUUUCCCUUCACGUUGUUGAGUUUCAAACGAGCGUCCAAGAUUUUACCCUCAAGAGGUAAAUAGAAAAUCCUCUGCCAUUUUAUAUAGCAAAUGCUCGUACCCUCUUUCAUCUGCUACUAGAAAUUCUCUUUUUCUGGGAAAUAAGCGGUAAAUUGGGUUGUGAAACAGACCUGCCAUCUCAAAGUCAUGGAGAAUGAAGUCAAUGGCGAGAUCUAUUGGCGUCUUGGGAGAGCUACACAAAAACAAAAGAUUAAAGAAAUUAAGUAAAGAUUCAAGAAAGACCAUUAAGUAAUUAAAGACCACUAAGUAAUUAUGUACAUUCAUUACUCGUGCAUUUCUGCUCCACUUUCUAAUAACAAAAGCCAAAAAUGACAUUUAUGGGGGAAUUAGAAUAACAAUUGCCAGGC
rnacentral:misc_RNA from 1 species